rfam:Rattus norvegicus chromosome 13, whole genome shotgun sequence.
GGGGAUUUAGCUCAGUGGCAGAGCGCUUGCCUAGGAAGCGCAAGGCCCUGGGUUCGGUCCCCAGCUCCA